GACGAACCGUGCGAACGUUGUUCGGAUUCACUGGGCUUAAAGGGCGCGUAGGCGGAUUGCCAAGUCAGGGGUGAAAUCUUUCGGCUUAACCGGAAAACUGCCCCUGAUACUGGCAGUCUUGAGGGAGGUAGGGGUCUGUGGAACUUCUGGUGGAGCGGUGAAAUGCGUAGAUAUCAGAAGGAACGCCGGUGGCGAAAGCGACGGACUGGACCUCCUCUGACGCUGAGGCGCGAAAGCUAGGGGAGAGAACGGG
rnacentral:rRNA from 1 species